rnacentral:rRNA from 1 species
GACGGAGGGUGCAAGCGUUGUUCGGAUUGACUGGGCGUAAAGGGCGUGUAGGCGGUUGGUCAAGUCGGGUGUGAAAGCCUGGGGCUCAGCCCCAGAAGUGCACCCGAUACUAGCCAGCUAGAGCGCGAUAGAGGAGGGUGGAAUUCCUGGUGUAGCGGUGAAAUGCGUAGAUAUCAGGAGGAACACCGGCGGCGAAGGCGGCCCUCUGGAUCGUUGCUGACGCUGAGACGCGAAAGCGUGGGGAGCAAACAGGAUUAGAUACCCUGGUAGUCCACGCCUUAAACGAUGGGUACUAGGUGUUCGGGGUGUUGACCCCCUGAGUGCCGCAGUUAACGCAUUAAGUACCCCGCCUGGGGACUACGGCCGCAAGGUUAAA